rnacentral:misc_RNA from 1 species
AGAGAGAGAGAGAGAGAGAAUGUGAGGCAAAAUGAGAGGAAGGAGUGGGGAGGGUGAGGAAAGAUGAGAGGGCAUAUAUGUUGCUUGGUAAACUUUUUUUUUUUUCUUAUAAUCAAAAUAUGAUAGUUUUAUCGUUUUGUCUCAAAUCGAAAGAUUUUAAAUAAAAGGAUAAUGUCAAAGAAUCCUAAAAUUUUGAGAUUUUUUACAACAGAGAAAGCGAUUGAGAUAAAAGAAGAAUAUGAGACAAAAUGAGAGGAAGGAAUGGGGAGGGUGAUGAAAGACGAGAGGGUAUAUAUGUUGUUUAAUAAACUUUUUUUUUCUUUUAAUCAAAACAUGAUAAUUUUAUCGUUUUGUCUCAAAUCGAAAGAUUUUAAAUAAAAGGAUAAUGUC